rnacentral:lncRNA from 1 species
UACUGAAUGUGAAUUUUCUGCUGACACUUUCCCAAGGGAAGGCCCUAUGGACUCUUCAUACCUAGUAGUGUACGAAACACAUUUCCCUUAGGGACUGUGAUCUGCAGUGAAGACAGCCUCGCUCACGAUUCCCAUCUGAAGGAAGCUCUCCACAGCGGAAGCAGAACUGCCCUGCGCCCAAGCCCCUGGAGGAAAGUCUGGGAUGGAGCUCCUGGAAACACGCAGCGAGAGCAGCAUGGAUGGGCCUCAUCUCCUCCUCUGAUCCAGGGACGUGCCUACGACAGAAUGGCUCUGCUGCCUACUCCUGGGUCUCUGCCAGUUGGCCUGGUCCUCAAACCAGGAGCCCUGGCAGUGCCCCCUGAGUGGUCAGGAAGCCCUUUUCCUGCCGUUCCUGGUUCCUAG